rnacentral:rRNA from 1 species
CCUACGGGAGGCAGCAGUGGGGAAUUUUGGACAAUGGGCGAAAGCCUGAUCCAGCAAUGCCGCGUGUGGGAAGAAGGCCUUCGGGUUGUAAACCACUUUUGUACGGAACGAAACGGUUCGCUUUAAUACAGUGGGCUAAUGACGGUACCGUAAGAAUAAGCACCGGCUAACUACGUGCCAGCAGCCGCGGUAAUACGUAGGGUGCGAGCGUUAAUCGGAAUUACUGGGCGUAAAGCGUGCGCAGGCGGUCAUAUAAGACAGUUGUGAAAUCCCCGGGCUCAACCUGGGAAUUGCAUCUGUGACUGUAUAGCUAGAGUACGGUAGAGGGGGAUGGAAUUCCGCGUGUAGCAGUGAAAUGCGUAGAUAUGCGGAGGAACACCGAUGGCGAAGGCAAUCCCCUGGACCUGUACUGACGCUCAUGCACGAAAGCGUGGGGAGCAAACAGGAUUAGAUACCCUGGUAGUCCACGCCCUAAACGAUGUCAACUGGUUGUUGGGUGCAUUAGUACUCAGUAACGAAGCUAACGCGUGAAGUUGACCGCCUGGGGAGUACGGCCGCAAGGUUGAAACGUCAAAGGAAUUGACGG